AACGAACGCUGGCGGCAUGCCUAACACAUGCAAGUCGAACGAGAUCUUCGGGUCUAGUGGCGCACGGGUGCGUAACGCGUGGGAAUCUGCCCUUUGGUUCGGAAUAACAGUUGGAAACGACUGCUAAUACCGGAUGAUGACGAAAGUCCAAAGAUUUAUCGCCAGAGGAUGAGCCCGCGUAGGAUUAGCUAGUUGGUGUGGUAAAGGCGCACCAAGGCGACGAUCCUUAGCUGGUCUGAGAGGAUGAUCAGCCGCACUGGGACUGAGACACGGCCCAGACUCCUACGGGAGGCAGCAGUGGGGAAUAUUGGACAAUGGGCGAAAGCCUGAUCCAGCAAUGCCGCGUGAGUGAUGAAGGCCUUAGGGUUGUAAAGCUCUUUUACCCGGGAUGAUAAUGACAGUACCGGGAGAAUAAGCUCCAGCUAACUCCGUGCCAGCCGCCGCGGUAA
rnacentral:rRNA from 1 species